AUACGGAGGAUCCAAGCGUUAUCCGGAUUUAUUGGGUUUAAAGGGUGCGCAGGCGGAAGAUUAAGUCGGCGGUGAAAUUUUGCAGCUCAACUGUAAAAGUGCCUUCGAAACUGGUUUCCUUGAGUGUAGAUGAAGUAGGCGGAAUUUGUGGUGUAGCGGUGAAAUGCAUAGAUAUCACGAGGAACUCCGAUUGCGCAGGCAGCUUACUAAACUACUACUGACGCUCAGGCACGAAGGCGUGGGGAUCAAACAGGAUUAGAUACCCUGGUAGUCCACGCAGUAAACGAUGAUUACUAGCUGUUUGCGAUACAAUGUAAGCGGCUGAGCGAAAGCGUUAAGUAAUCCACCUGGGGAGUACGUUCGCAAGAAUGAAACUCAAAGGAAUUGACGG
rnacentral:rRNA from 1 species